rnacentral:other from 2 species
ACGGUUAUAAAUCAACAUAUUGAUUUAUAAGCAUGGAAAUCCCCUGAGUGAAACAACGAAUUGCUGUGUGUAGUCUUUGCCCAUCUCCCACGAUGGGCUUUUUUUUUG